rnacentral:rRNA from 1 species
UGGGGAAUUUUGGACAAUGGGGGCAACCCUGAUCCAGCAAUGCCGCGUGAGUGAAGAAGGCCUUCGGGUUGUAAAGCUCUUUUGUCAGGGAAGAAACGGUAGUAGCGAAUAACUAUUACUAAUGACGGUACCUGAAGAAUAAGCACCGGCUAACUACGUGCCAGCAGCCGCGGUAAUACGUAGGGUGCAAGCGUUAAUCGGAAUUACUGGGCGUAAAGCGUGCGCAGGCGGUUGUGUAAGUCAGAUGUGAAAUCCCCGGGCUCAACCUGGGAAUUGCAUUUGAGACUGCACGGCUAGAGUGUGUCAGAGGGGGGUAGAAUUCCACGUGUAGCAGUGAAAUGCGUAGAUAUGUGGAGGAAUACCGAUGGCGAAGGCAGCCCCCUGGGAUAACACUGACGCUCAUGCACGAAAGCGUGGGGAGCAAACAGGAUUAGAUACCCAGGUAGUCCCUGAGCGGGCUGGCAAGGCGCAU